CAGAAAUCUAGAGGACCUUUCAAAUGUUC
rnacentral:piRNA from 1 species